rnacentral:lncRNA from 1 species
UCUCUUAGCUAUCCCAUAGUGCUUGUUAGAAGGACCAUGCAUAUAUCUAGCUAACAAACUAGCUGCAUACAUCACAUCUGGUCUUGUAGCAGUAAGAUACAAUAAACUGCCUACAAGCUUUCUAUAUUUCUCUUCAUCUGCUGCACCACUGCCAUCUUCUUUACUCAACUUUUCAGUAGCCACAAGAGGUAUAGAGACAGAUUUACAUUCUUUCAGUCCAAACUUAUCCAACAGGGAAGAGGCAUACUUCUUUUGAUGAAUGAAGAUGCUAGAUUCUGUUUGAAUUACUCCCAUCCCCAGAAAAUGGUGAAGAAGGCCCAAGUCUGACAUCUCAUACUUCUCCUUCAUAUCUUCUUUGAACUCAUCCAACAUGUCUUGAUUGUUUCCAGUAUACACAAUAUCAUCCACAUAUAUGGAGACUAUUAGUAUAUCCUUUUCUCCCAUUGUCUUAGUGUAGAGAGUUGCUUCACUUAAGCUUUUCUCAAACCCACACUUAGCAAAAUAACUGUCAAUCUCUCCAUACCAGGCCCUAGGUGCCUGUUUCAAGCCAUAAAGAGCCUUGUGCAGUUUGUAAACUUUGUCUUCCUUGCCAUUAAUCACAAACCCUUCAGGUUGAUCAACAUAUACUUCUUCCUGCAAUAUUCCAUUUAAGAAAGCAGACUUAACAUCUAAUUGAAAUAUCUUCCAGUUUCUGUGUGCAGCAAGUGCAAUCAGUGUUCUGAUGGUGUCCAAUCUGGCAACUGGAGCAAAAGUCUCAUUGUAAUCGAGUCCUGGUUUCUGCACAUACCCCUUGGCAACCAAUCUGGCCUUGUUCUUUUGUACUGAACCAUCUAGAUUCAGUUUGGUUUUGAACACCCAUUUAACUCCAAUCACCUGCUUAUCACUUGGUCUGUCAACAAGCUCCCAAGUUCCAUUCUUCUCAAUCAUUUGCAGUUCUUCUUCCAUUGCCUUUAUCCAAGCCUGAUCUUGUGCAGCUUCUUCAUAUUUCUCAGGUUCCACAAUGCAAAUGUUGCACUGUGUCAUAAUGUCAUUUAUGCUUCUCCAUUUCACUGGAGUAUGAUCAUAAGACUGAGGGAUCUCAUCAGAUUCUUGAAUGCUGCUUUCUUGUUCUUCAGUAUGAAAAGAAGAACUAGGACUGAGAGAACUUCCUUCAAUCACACUCAUCUCAUAUGGAUUCUCACAAACUACAUUCUCAGGUUGAUCCUGAAUGUAAGUUGCAGCAGCUGAACUUUGUGAACUUUCUUUCCAAUUCCAGGUCAUAGAUUCAUCAAAAACCACAUCUCUUGACAAGAUUAACUUGUUGGUACAUGGAUCAAAUAUUCUGUAUCCCUUCUCACAUGUAGCAUAACCCACAAAUACACCUUUAACACUCUUAGCAUCUAGCUUCUAUCUUGUCUCAGUAGGUAUAUGAACAUAGCACAGGGAACCAAAAAUCUUGAGAUGUGCAAGACCUGGUUUUCUGCCACUAUAGGCUUCAAAAGGGGUUGUAUUUCCUAGUGCCUUUGUAGGACACCUAUUUAGAAUAUAUACAGCUGUGUGUACAGCUUCAGCCCAAAGAACAUAUGGCAUACCUCUAUCAUGAAGCAUAGUCUUUGCCAUUUCAACCACAGUUCAAUUUUUUCUCUCCACUACUCCAUUCUGUUGAGGAGUAUAAGCCAUGGUGAGUUGCCUUUGAAUGCCCUCAGUUUCACAGAAUUUAGUGAACUCAGAAGAUAAAAAUUCUCCACCCCUGUCACUCCUUAGUUUUUUAAUUUUGAAACCACUCUGCAGCUCCACCAUUGACUUGAAUUUUUUGAAGUAAUUGAAUGCAUCAAAUUUGUAUCUGAGAAAAUACACCCAGAUCAUCCUUGUACAGUCAUCAAUGAAUAGCAUGAAAAAUUUGUUUCCAGCCAAUGAUGCAUUCUGCAUAGGACCACAGAGAUCAACAUGUAUAAGUUCCAGAGGACAGCUUGCUCUCCAGGCUUGAUCUUUUGGAAACCAUUCUCUGUGCUGUUUUCCAAAUUGACAUCCUUGACAUACAUCCUUGGUUGCUUCUAGGUAUGGAAGACCAUGCACCAUAUUCUUCUCACUGAGUUGCUGAAGCCCUCUGAGAUUCAAGUGGCCUAGUCUUCUGUGCCAAAACUGAGUAGAAAGCUCCAAACUAGCCUUCAAAACUAACUGAUUAUUUUUUACCAGAGAAAGAGGAUAGCAUCGAUUUUCCUUCUUCUUAACCUUGAUGAUAAGGUUUUCAAGUGAAGGUCCAUCAUAUAUGCUGCACAAACCUCCUCCAAACACUAGAUAAUAUCCAUGCUCAUCCAUUUGUCCAACACUCAAUAAGUUUUCUUUUAAACCUGGCAGAUGCAUGACUUCCCUGAUAUACCUUUUACCUCUGUUAGUGUCAAUCUGCAAUGAACCCAUUCCAGCCACAUUUACUAACACACCAGUAGGCAUUUGCACCUUUCCAGCAACAUUUGUAUUUAUGUCAACAAGGAGAUCAGCAUUCCCUGUCAUGUGAUUACUACAACCACUGUCAACAUACCAAUUUCCAUUGAUAUUUGUUUCUGAGAUUGCACUAUUAGCAUAGAACAGAUUUCCUGACACUUCCACCUGAUUUACAGAGUUUGCCUUUUGCACAAUCUUCCCUACAGUGCAUUCUCUAGCCCAAUGACCAAACUUAUCACAAUUAUAACACUUAGGCUUCCCCUUAUAUCGACAUUCACCAAAAUGAUACUUAGAACACACUCUACACUGUGGUUUGACAGUCUCUUGACUUAUUGACUGUGACUGAUAUGGAUUUGGUGCAGGACAAGUGAAAGGUUUAUGUUGGAAUCGAGGUUUCGAAUCCCAUUUCUUUCCCUUAGCAUUCCAAUUCUUCUGGAAUUUUGAUGAGCCAGAUUGAACUCCACUUCUAUUUUGCCCCUUUGGACUUACUGAGAAUGAUGCAAAAGCCUUCUCAGUGGUAUCAACAUUAUGCAAGUCAAAUCGUUGUUCCUGACUCUUCAAAAUCGCAACAACUUCUUGCAGCUCAACAGACUCUAGACACUUUGUGUUUUCUAUAACUAAACAGAUGGAAUCAUAAGGCUUACUUAGACUAAUCAGAACCUUCUGCACAAGUCUCUCAUUAGAAAGGGAUUCACCAAAUGUUCUCAUCUGAUUAAUUAACUCAUUCAAUCUUGUAAGAUAACUAGACAGAGAUUCAUCAUCCCGCAUUCUAGCAUACUCAAAUUCUCUUCUAAGAUUCUGAAGUUUUACGGAUCUAACCUGAUCACCACCAUGGUAUUCUCCAUACAGUAGAUCCCAUGCCAUCUUGGCUGAUUCAGCAUUGGCAAUCCGAGGAAAUAUUUGAUCCGAGACCGCAUUCUGGAUAAUACCCAGAGCUUUUGCAUCUUGCAUAUAUGCUGCGACCAUUUUCUCAUCGUCUUCUUCUUCCUCUGAGCUUCCUUCAACCUUCUUCUUCUUUGUUUCUGAGAUCGUAAUCCCCUUUUCAACUAAUUUCCAUAGCCCGUGAGAUUUGAAGAUCGUCACCAUCUUGAUUCUCCAGAACUCGUAGUUCUCACCGGAGAAGAUCGGAGUUCUCACCUCAGAACUUCCAGAUCCAGCCAUCUCUUAGCUUAGACGAGACGAACACAAAUCGAAAUCGGAUUCUAUGGAAUUUCGGCGACUUCGCCUGAACCGGAACGAGCUCGAGUGUAGCUCGAUUGCUUCACAGUUUACCCCCAGAUCUCAAAUGAUCGAACAAGGCUCUGAGGCCAUGUUAGAGUUCUUUGAACUAGCUAUGUUUCUAAGGAAGUAAGGAAUCUGAAAGGUUAGAGAGAAAUGCAAUGUGAAGGAAUGCUCUGUUCUACCUCUCUAAGUCUGAGAGUGAUGUUUUAUAUAUCUCACAAUCAAUACACGCACAAAAGCAUGUGUACAUAACAACUAGCCUUAGUUGGAUAUCCACAACCAACAAUACAAUCUCAGCCUUACACUUGUCAUAAUCUAAGACUAAGUGAAUACACAAUUAAAACAAGGCUUAUUUACUUUAACUCUACUUAGCUCACAGCUUAUACACUAAUACUGGCUUUGGUUUGGGGAUCUCCACUGCUGCUGGUGCUACAAGCAGCCUAAUGGGUUUUAGUCAAGGAGCUGUAAGUUUUUAUUUUUAGUUUUUACUUUUAAUCGUAAAAGGUUUUAAUUGAUGAUCAUUGGUUAACUUUUUUCUCUAUUUUCUUGCCCGAGCAUCCAAUUUGUUGUUCUUCACCUUUCCCAUCUCAGCCAUUUUUCGGGUUGAAACAAGACUCAUGUGUUUCACAAACAGGUGCUGUUACUACGGAACAAACUACGAUUUCCGCUGGUGGGUCUACUACUCCCUUUCCCCAAAGAGGUUAGUGCUACACACAAACAGUUAUAUCUAUCGAUUUUUUUCCUUCAAUUAUUGAAGGUUUUUAUGUUACUCCCUUUUAGAUUCAUAGAGGCAUUAUACUUUUUGUUAGAACAAGUCAGAGUUAUCAAGAAUCCAGCUCAUGUUUAAACUCUAAAGUCUGUUAUUUAGGAAUGCAGUCCUUAUCCAAGGAUAACUCUGAUAGGUCUAGAUUAUUUUAAAUGUUUUAAAGUCUGUUUUCACAGAUGUUGUAUUAUUCAAAUUCAAAUGUUGCUGUGUAAAUAGGGAUUUGGCUAACGACAAAAGUUUUACAUGGGGAUGUAAAUUCUGAGCUGGAAACCUGAGAGUCCUAAAGUUUUACAUGAUAUCAGAGCCUUUCUGUCUAACGACAAAAGAUCCUUCAUUUUUUUUCCAAACCCCAUCACUGCUUCCAUGGCUGAAACUAAUAAAGUCAACCCUAUCAUCCUGUAAGAACCCGUAGUUUUAGAAUAUAUAUGAAUACGAUUAUUUGAAGGUAACGUGUGUAUAUAUAUAUGUAUAUGUAUAUAUGUUUUUAUCGGUUGAACUACAAGUCUAUAUAUUUAUUUUAUUACAUAUAAAUAUACAACUUAUUUUUCUAGUUUUGUUUUUUUCUAGUUUUGUUUGCUGAGCACUUAGUUUGGUGUUUGUAGUUAGCCGUAUUGGUACACGUGGAAGUCUACAAACUUGAGCUGGAGGACAAUGUUUUCAUAUAGCUUUAUAGAUAUACGAGUAAGCUUAUUACAGCUUUGUAGAUACUUGAGAUUAAAGCUGGAGGUGGCAUUGAAAUUGCAUACAAUGGACAAGUGUGUAUGACUCAUGAAAUUUUAGCAUGAGCUGUUGAUACAAGGACUUUGGUUAUCCAAUUAGAGCUGAAGCUAUCAUGGGCCGCCCAUUUGAACCAAUUAGAGGACUCUCUUAGCCGCCAUAUUACUACUAUAAAUAGGAGGCCAUGCUCCAUUGUUUUCGCAUAUCAAGGAAACAUGCAGAGCAUGCAGCGAAGGUUCAAUGUAGAGAAAGGGAGUGAGGGUAAGGAGAGAAAGAAAUAGGGUUUAGGGUUUGUUGUGUGGAGAUUGUUAGUUGGGUUGUCUUACCAAAGCUUGGAUUAUUGAGGUGAGUGGUUUAUGUAAUGUGUUUAAAAGUUCUUAUUUUCGAUAAAUGAAAACCACGAACUAUUGUGGGUUUUAUCUAUUUAUAAAUCUCUAUCUAUUUCAAGUCAAGCAUGUUGGAUUUGUUGAAAUGUUUUGGAGUUAUUAUAUAUCGUGAUAUGUGGAUUAUUUGGAAAUGUUCAUGGAGCAUGAGAACUUUGGUGUUGCAUUAAUCCGAGGGAUAAAUGUAAGUUGCACACGGGGACUUUAGGGCAAAUGGCCAUUAGGGGUCACGUGGUGAGUUACAAUUUAUGAAGGAUAUAAUGGACACGUAAAGGGAUGAUGUGAUAUGGCAUUAUGUGUAUAAUUAUUUGAUAUUAUUAUCCUAUUUUAUAGUAUGAUUAAAAUAACAAGCUUGAUUGGCAUAUUAUAUAUUCUACUCACUGAGCGACGGUGGUUGUUGCUCACUUCUCACCUAUUAUUUUACAGAUGAGUUAUUUGGCAAGACAGGUGUUAGAAGAGUUGAGGUUGUGAUUGAGGAGAAGUUUAAGGAUUUUAAUAUUACUUAUGCACACCCUGUAAGGAUUAUGGAGUUAUUUUAAUAAGAGGAUUUCAUUUUUCAACCCAUGUCGAUUUCCUUUUAUUUAUUUUUACUUUUACUCGCGUUUCGGGCGCGGGGUCUUAUUUUACUACCGACCCCGGGUUCGGGGCGUGACACAUCCCCCCUGCAAUUUCAUGCGUCAAUCCCUUCUCCUCUUCCAUGACUACUGUAGUGAAUAUUAAGCUUGAUCGUCCCAACCAUCCUCUAUGGUUGGCGCAAAUCUUGCCAAUACUAAAGAGUCGUGACCUAAUGGGUUACGUCGACGACUCUCUGGUCUGUCCUCCGAAACACUUGGCUGGAAAUACUGCUGUCAAUCCGGCGUAUGUUACAUGGGUGCAUAAUGACCAAAUGAUCCUCAAUUGGAUCAAUGUCUCGCUGACUGCCUCUGUUCUAACCACUAUAGCCAGCAAACGCACGUCUCGUGCGAUAUGGGAAGCUCUUGAGCAGCGUUAUGCAUCCACUUCUCAGAAUCGCAUCAUCUUUCUGCAAAAUGAAUUGCUCCUGACAAAGAAAUGUGAUCUCUCAGUGGCUGAUUACUUGGAUCGUGUAAAUGCUAUAUCAAAUAACCUUGCUCUUGCCGGACAAUCAGUAAGUGAUAAUGAACUGGUUCAAAUUAUUCUUAAUAACCUUGGUCCUAUAUUCGAGAUGACUGUCAAUGCAGCUCAGGCACGUGAUACUCCAAUCAUGUACCCAACCCUUGAAGCUCUUCUUUUGACAACGGAGAGGCGAAUGAUGGAACAAAUUGUACCUGUGGUGGAAUCAGCUUCUGUCAAUGCCUUUGUAGCUGCAAGAGGACGUGGUGGACGUUCUCGUGGAAAUGGACGUGGUGGCUUUGCGUCCAACCGUGGUGCUGCUUCUAAUAUCAACCAACGAGGUUCCUUCCCUUGCAACAACAGUCAGCGCAAUCCUACCGUCAUUGGGGAACGUUGCAAUUCAAGUGGCGAGAGAAUCACUUGUCAAAUCUGUGGUAAGCCUGGACAUCGUACUUUAGAUUGUUACCAGCGCAUGAAUGGUGCUUAUAAAGGACGUAUUCCAACUAAACGUCUUACUGCCAUGGCGUCUUCACCAAUUACCUUGAAUCGACAACAAAAUGGAACCUGGUUACUGGACACAGGAGCCAACACCCAUGUCACUCCUGAUAUUCAAAAUCUGGUAAAUCCAAAGGAGUACAAUGGUAAUGAAAAUAUCAGUGGUGUAGGUAAUGAUACUGGCCUUUCAAUUUCACAUUCUAGUUCAAACAAAAUUACUACUAAGUCUUGCUCAUUUGAACUAAACAUAUACUCCAUUGUCCAUCUGCCUCCACUAGCAUUAUCUCUGCCCAUCAAUUCACUCUUGAUAACCACUGUUACCUACUAAUAUUUCCUUAUUUUUUCUUUGUCAAGGACCUCAAGACCCAGAAAACGCUUUUCCAAGAGAGAUGUGAGAAUGGGUUGUACCUAUUUCUAGGUGGCGGUGGAUUAUCCAAGUAUCCUAUUUCAAUGUUCUUAGGCGUUAGAGUCUCGGCCCAAAAAUGGCAUUCUUGUCUUGGUCACCCUGCAUCUUCAAUUAUUAAGUUUUUAAUUUCAAAUAAUCAAGUACCAAGUCAUGGUACUGCCGAUGUAAUGUUUUGUGAUUCUUGUCCUUUGGGCAAGAGUACCAAACUUCCCUUUAGCAAGUCAGAGUCUGUGUCUCAAUUUCCUUUGGAACUUUUACAUUCCGAUGUGUAGUGUUCACCAGUUAUGUCAAUUGAAGGUUUUCGUUAUUAUGUAUUGUUUGUCGAUGAUUGUUCUCACUAUUCUUGGAUUUUUCCCAUGAAAAACAAAUCUGAAGUAUUUGGAAUUUUUGUUACAUUUAAGGCGCACGUUGAAAAAAUGUUUAACACACCCAUCAAAACUCUUCAAUGCGUUGAAGGUGGUGAGUAUAAGAGUCAAGCCUUUAAACAUUUUCUUGCAACUCAAGGAAUUUCACAACAUUUUUCAUGCCCAAACACCCUGAGCAAAAUGGAAUUGCGGAACGAAAACAUCGCCACAUAGUCAAAACUAGUAUUGUCAUGCUUUGUCACCCCCACAUCCGUGACAAAUAUUGGUUUGAUGUUUGUUUGGCGGCCACAUACAUAAUUAAUAGGUUACCAACUAAGGUUUUGUCUAAUAAAUCUCCAUAUGAAAAGCUUCUUCACCGAACACCGACUUAUGAAUUCUUCAAAGUAUUUGGAUGUAAAUGUUUUCCUUGGUUGACACCCUAUGCACGCAACAAACUUCAACCCAAGUCCAAGUCAUGUGUUUUCUUAGGAUAUUCGUUGAAUCACCAAGGAUACAAGUGUUUGGAUUUAUCCACGAGACGAGUGUAUUUGUCUCACCACGUAUUAUUCGAUGAGGACUCAUUUCCAUUCAAGGAACUUGCAUCUCUCAAGGAAAACGUCUCCACAACAGGUAACUCUCCAACCUCUGAGCUUGUUUUUUACUUUUCCAACCCUAUCCCUAGUCCACCAAAUAACCAAGUCCUAGUCACACCUAAUGACCAACCCGCCACUACCAAUAGGUUACCAUAUAAUCAACCAAUGCAUGAACAACCUGCACCAAGUUUCCAACCUUCUUCUACUCCAAACCCUGCCCUUAUUUCUAGCCCUAGUGAACCUUUACCAAACCAAGAUGAGCAAGAAAUAGUAGUUGUUGUCCCUGUGAACCAUAAUCAGUCACGACAAUGUGUCCUCGAUCCGGUGUUGGUUCAUGAUCCCCCUCCAUGUUAUCCAAUGACCACUCGGUCUAAAGUUGGGAUACAAAAGCCAAACCCAAAAUAUGCAUUGCAUGUUAAUACUGACAAUCAAGUGGUUGAACCAACAUGUUUUAGUCAGGCAAUCAAGCAUAAAGAAUGGCGGACUACGAUGGCUCAGGAAUUUAGUGCCUUGCAACAUUAUGGUACGUGGACUCUUGUACCUUACCAUCAUGCCAUGAACUUGUUGCCAAACAAGUGGGUUUUCAAGAUAAAGAGGCGUGCAAAUGGCUCGAUUGAGCGACAUAAGGCUAGGCUUGUGGCUAAUGGUUUUCAUCAACAAUCCGGGAUCGACUAUACGAAGACCUUUAAUCCUGUUGUCAAGCAUAGCACCAUUAGACUUGUUUUGAGUUUGGCAGUUUCAAAUAAAUGGCAUGUUCGACAAUUGGACGUUCAAAACGAGUUUCUGCAUGGGUAUUUUAGUGAGGAUGUGUACAUGAGACAACCACUGGGUUUUGUUGAUAAACAGUAUCCUAACUAUGUUUGUAAACUGCAACGUAGUUUGUAUGGUUUAAAACAGACGCCUAGGGCCUAGUUUCAAAGGUUUUCAGAAUUUUUCCUUCAGUUAGGGUUUCAAGAGUCCAUGUGCAAUUACUCUUUGUUUGUUUAUAAUCAAAGAGGCGUUUAUUUGAUUUUGCUUAUUUAUGUGGAUGACAUCUUGCUCACAGGAAACAACUACACUCAAUUGGCAUGGUUGAUCAAGAAGCUCAGCACUUUAUUUUCCAUGAAAGACUUGGGUCCCCUUAGUUUUUUCCUGGGUGUUGAAGCCACUUACGUUGGAAACAAUAUGCAUUUGACUUAAUCCAAGUAUGCCCUGGACUUGCUUCAACAAACAAAGUUUAAAGAUGCCAAGCCGAUUUCCACUCCAAUUUCUGUAGGACAAAAACUGAGUGCUUAUGUUGGUGAACCUUACAAGUAUCCGGAUCAAUAUCGCAGUGUUGUUGGAGCUGUAGACAACGAAAUUUCGGUAAAUAAAUCUUCACCAACGCAUUAAAGUUUUGACGUGUCACAACACACAUGGGAUACGCCACAUGUCACACGAUUGUACACAUGGCAUGUGACUCAACAAAUUGGAAGAAAAACCCUUGGAGGAUUAAACAAGUUUUUCUUCUCAUUUUUGGGCAAUGACAAGGCAAGCACACUUCAAUCCAUUAUGGAUGAAAACAAGUUUUUCUUCUCAUUUUGGGCAAUGACAAGGUAAGCACAUUUCAAUCCAUUACGGAUCAAAACAAGUUUUUCUCAUUUGGGCAAUGACAAAGCAAGUACAUUUCAAGUUUAAAAUUGUAUCAAGUGGGAAAAUUAGGCCAUAAGUUAGACCACUUCAAGUUUAAAAUGGUAUUAAGUGGGAAAUUAGGCCAUAUGUUAGACCACUUCAAUUUCAAUAUUGCAUUAAGUGGGAAAAUUAGGUAAUGGUGCUUAAGUGGGAAGAUUUUUGAUGUGAGAAUUACUUGACACACAAAUUAAACCCUCUUUUUGACAAUUGUAGUAUAGAUGUAAGUAGGGUAUCGUUCUAGGCCGGGGAUUAGGAGGGAUUGCUAAUCUAUUCUAAAUUAAUUUUAAAAAUAUUAAACAAGACUCAAGGACACAAAACUAGGCUAGAAACUCUAAUAACUCGAAACACACUUAGAAUGACUCAAAAUAAUGAAAACAAUCAAAUUAGACACUAGAAACUGAAAUGGACGAAAAUUGAAUUAAAAGACUAACAACAAUGAAAACUAACUAAAUAAUAUAAUUUAAUAAUGGGGGGGUUUGGUUUUGACGAGAAGUAAAUUAAACUUAAAUAAAUUACAGAAUUGACAAAAGCAUGAAAUUAAGGUGAAAGGAUAGGUGACGGACUAGCUAGAGGGUUUUUCUCCACACAUGAUACAUAUGCAACCUAAAUUGAUUUUUCAGUUGUUCUUUCAAUAAAUUGUGAAUGACAAUGUUCCAAGUUAAUUAGGUCCGCUUAAAUUAACUCUUAGAUUUCCCUAGAUUCAUUGGAUUGAAUGGAAUACGCAUUACAACCAAAUUAUUCCUCAUCAAAAUCCCUAACUAUGGAAUACGCAUGAUAGAGACAUUCAACAAAGAUCAUUAAGUUCAACGGAAAUCAUAAACAUUGACUAGGCAUUCAUAACUAUGGAAUACGCAUGUUAAUCCAGCCUAGAAUUCACUUAACACGAUUGUGGAUAACAACCUUCACUACUUGUGAAUAUAAGUUCAUAACGAUUAGGUGAAACUCCCUUAUAUUCUAGCAUCAAAUUCAUGCAUGAAAAUUAAGCGUGCACUCUCAACCAACAUACACAAAUUAGUUAUCAAUCAAGCAGUUAAGCAAAUUAAAUCACAACUCAGAAAUCACAACUGAAGGUAAUCAAUUCAUAUUACAAAUAUAUUCAUGGCUUUGAAUUAACCUCUAGCCAAAAUAAAUUUAGUUACACAUUAUUAUCAAAUUAAACCAAAAGUAAAACAUGAGUUUGAGAAGAUAAAACCAAGAAAAAUUGGAGUGAAACUUUGCUCUCUGUGUUGCUCCCGUCAGUUUCUCCUUGCCUUUGCCUUCUCUCCCCUCUGUCCUGCCUCUGCGCCUCACUGCUCUCUGUCAGUCCGUCCUUUUAUUUCCUCUUGUUAGUCCGUCCCUUCUCUUGGCCUCUCCUCUUGGUCUCUCCUCUGCCGCGUGUUCUGUUUCUCGCGUUGCUCUCCUCUUCCCCGUCACUCCUCUCUCUCUGCCCUGCCUUCUGUUUCUCACGCUGCCUAAGGCAGCUUCCUCUGACUCGCCAGCUGCAAAGGCAGCUUUUCUUUCCCCCCCGCGCCUCGGUCCGUGUCCUUUUCUCCUUAAAGCUGCCUUCUUAUUUCUCCCGUCUCACUCAUUUUCCCUUUUUUUUUAUUAUUUUCUUUUUCUGGCAGCUUUGCUGCUCUCCUAUAUUAUAUCCCCCUCUGACCUGCCUUCCAUCUCCUUCUUAUUCUUUUAUUCUUUGCACUCCACUUCCUUCCUUUCAAUUAUAUUUUUCGUCCGUGCUCUCCCACUUCUUAAAAAGGCAGCCAUUUCAAUUCACAAUUAACGAUCCACUUGCUCCAUCUUUAAUUCUUUUAUUUGCUCCAUUAUUUUUCUAAUGGUCCACCCGUGUUCCACUUUCCUGUUUAUUAUUUAAACCCAUUUGUGCUAAUUUUAUUUUCUUUGCAUAACAAAUCCUAUAAACACAAAAAUAACGUAAAUAGCUCAAAAAUAUAAGGAACUAACUAAGAAAAGACGAGUGAAUUCGAAGUAAAAAUAUAUAUAAAUAUGAUCCGAUCAAAUACCCCCACACUUAACUUUUGCUAGUCCUCGAGCAAAACAAAGAAAACAAGAACAAGAAGUAACAAGAAAAACAUUAGCUUCCCCUCUAUGUGACCCUCAUAGAAUUUCAUUCAAGAAAACAAAUCAUCAAGAACCAUAGCUAGCAUCAAGGAACUAAUCCAAGUUCAUCUUCCUUAUUCAAAUAUUAGCAGUAAUCUUUAAAUCAUCCUUGAAGUGUAGUGUGUGAGAUAGCCAUGCUAAUGCAAUUUCAAGUUUUUAUUUUUAAAAUCAUCAUAUGCAAACUAGCGACCUUCUCACGGGAUAUGCACUCAAUCACACAUGUGUUUAGUUUUAAUGUGUUUCGCUCAAAGAAUCAAAUGUGAAAUUUCUACCAUAAGCUUGCAUAAAGAUCUCAUCUCCACAAUCAUAAUUGCAAAACUUAAAUCAAGAGGACUUUUAUUGGAUGUAAUGAGGUUUAGGGAGAGGGUUAUUGAAAUGAAAGAAUAGGUAAACACAAGUUCCAAGCUACAUUGCAAGCAAUUCUUUUGUUUAGAUUUAUAAGAACUCAAGCUCUCCAGCAAUUCUUCUAGCACCUCCAACCACACCCUUAAACUGAAACUUUAAAAACUUUUUAUUUUCUUUGUAUACAAUCUUUCUUUUUCUUUUUCUUUUCUUCUCUUUUCUCUUUUUUUUUUUUUUUUUUUUUUUUUUUUUUAAAUACAAACAUGAAAUACCCCCACACUUAUUCUUUUUGCCAAACACCUUCAAAGUACUUCACAAACGUUUCUCAUAAGACAAUCUUUCGCAUUGCUCGCUUGGAAAGGGUAAGGAAAAAUGUUUCAGGUAUAAGGGUAGACAUAUCUGGUGAUAAGAAAUAAAAGGCUCAACAUACACGGCUCAAAUUGGCAAUCUAAUGAUAUCAUUUUUCUUUGGGAAACAUGGUUAUUUGGGCCAUAGUGGUAAACCUAAUGCCUCUAUCAUUUCCAAGUUCAUGCAAUCAAUGACAAACAUUUCGAAAGAUCGUUACGCAAGUUCUAGAGAUGUAUCUCACAUAAGUUCAUCACACAUGAAAAAAAUAGGAGUGUAUGAAAAAUGCACACACUUUCAAUAGGCUCAAAAACUCACAUAGGAUGUAUAUGGUCACUAAAUUCACAUAUGAAGCUUUAAGUCAUGCUUUAGUUUCACAUCAACAAGGCUAUGUGCAUUUGGUUUUUCAAAGAUGAUCAAACAUGUACAAAACUAACAAGAGAAUUAGGAAUUUCACAAAACACAUGUUAACUAAGUUCUUGAUGAUCAUGGUUCAAAUUUGAUCCAAUUAUAUCAUUGGGUCGGGAAACAAAAAAAAUCUAACAAUAAGGGAAACAAGACAAUAUUUUUGGAUUUUUAAAUUUUCCGAUUUUUUUUUUUUUAAAAGAAAACAAAACUAAUUAAGAAAACAAAAAGCAACAACAUGGAAACAAAUGAAACUCGUUCAUAGUUGAAGGUACAAAAAAAAUUUCAAUUUGGUCAUUUUUAUACUCUUUACCCCCAAACUUAAACUGGACAUUGUCCCAAAUGUCAGAAAACACUAUAAUGCAAAUAAAAAUAAAAUAAAAUAAAUAAUAAGAAACAAAAUAAAGCAAUUGGACUGAAAACUUCCCUAAGUUUGCAGUAAAAAUCAAGCGAUGACCCCCAAGCUAAAAUUCUGCAAUCAACUUCAAGGGUGGAAAUAACCAAAAAUUCCUGCAAAGAAAAGAAAUAAUUCAGUUAAGUAACGCAAGAAAAUGUAAAAAAAAUUGCAAACGAAAAAUUGAAAAUCACGAUAAAAAGACAAUGAAUAGAACUAAUAAGUGAUCAUUGGUCGUGCUUGUCGACUUUCCACAGCUUUCCUCUUGAACGGGGUGACACUUAGCUUUUUACUUGCAAGUGAUGAUUUGAUGAUAUUGUACGGCGGAGCUUUGCUCUUUGGUGAUGUUGCAGUUCCUUAUUUGUUCUCCAAGCAGAUGUGGCAGCUUCUCUAGUUCUUCAACUCAGACUCCUUAUGCUGGGUUGAUUGUGCAAGCUGCAUUCUUCUCUGCUUGUUUCUUCUGCACGACGGGCGGGCACGAGGUAAAGGUGUUGGUCUGUUUCUUUCUUCAAUCUUUCCAAGUGCCCACCUCUUGCUUUUUUUCUCCUUGUCCCUAGCUGAAUUGUCUCCACAUGCUUCGAGGUAUCAUUUUCACUUCCCUUACUGUCCCCCAGGCAGAUGUGGUAGACGAAGAGAAAGCACAAAAUGAUGAAGAUGAGUACUCGAGAGCAAGGCUAGGUAAGCAAUCAGGAAAGGGUUCCAGGCAGUUGGCUCCAGAUCGGAAGAUUGAUACCAAAUGCUGGCUGAUUGCUCUCUUUCUCCUUGUCGCAAAACAAAGACAAGGAAAAGGACAGGGAGAAAGCAUGAUAUGAGAUACUCUUGCUUUCAACCUUCAUGAUAUGAAAUACUUUUGCUUCUGGAUGGGUUGUUUGCAGGGGUAUCCCAAGGGGAUGAAAAAUACAGAGUGACUUCGAGAGGUGUGUUGGAAAUACAUUCUCGGAGAUGAAGAAGUGCUGAGAGGGUGUGCCUUUGCUGUGGAAGGCGAAGGUAGAUACUUAUAGGACUUUUCUUCACAACCGGAACUAUUCCCUCACUCAUUGUCGGCAGCCGGUGGAUGGAUGAAUAGUAUAAAUUACGCGCUUUCUGACAAAGUUGCCCGUAAUUUCCGCAAAGCUGCCAGUUGCAUGUGACGAGUGACGACACGUCUGGACAACUUGAUCUUUUGAAAUCCGGGGUUCGGCUCGUGGUUUCUGAGCAAGCCCAGCCUUUAAGAAAUGAAACGCCUCUUUUGAGAAAAAAAUCCGACUUUUGAGAAAGGAGCCCCGACUCUUCGAUUUGCGAGAAGACGCUUCUCUGAGGAGCGCCUCUUUGAUUUCUUCUUUUUAUAGAGGCGUUAAUUUUGUUCCACAACACACUUGAGCUCUCUCCUGUAAACACUCCCUUCUUGCACUUCCAAAAUCUUAAUCUGUCCUAUCUCUUCUUUCUUUACCAUUCUGAAAAAUGUCUGGCCCUUCCGAUCGUCGUUUUGACUUGAACAUUGGUGAAGAGGCAGCUCCGCCUUCACCAGACAACAUAUGGCGCCCAUCCUUCAUAUCCCUUACCGGUCCCCUUACCGUGGGGGAUUCGGUGAUGAAAAAUGAAAUGACAGCUACGGUGGUGGCCCGGAACCUUGUCACCCCACCCCCAGAGAUAACAGACUGCUCGCUAGACGGUCUGAUGAAUUGGCGGUUAAGGAGUCUCUGGCUCUUAGCGUGCAGUGUGCGGGUUCUGUGUCCAACAUGGCCCAACGCCUAUUUGCUCGAACCCGUCACGUUGAAUCGUUGGUGGCUGAAAUACAGAGUCUCAAAGAGGAGAUUAGAGGGACUCAAGCAUGAAAAAAUAAACAAUUGCACAAGCUUGCACACAG